AAGUCGUAACAAGGUUUCCGUAGGUGAACCUGCGGUUGGAUCAUUAAUAAAUUUAUUUGUAGUCUUAGUUUUAGGGGCUCUUGAGCCCCCAUGAGAACUAAGAUCAGUCUCCUUGGUUAGCGCCAAUGGGGACUGACACAAAACACCUGUGCACUUGAAUGUAUCUUGGAUAGGAAGUUUCUUAUCCAAAAACUUUAUAAACCCCUUUUGAUUAAUGUCUGAAUUAUUUUAUUAAAUAUAAACAACUUUUGACAACGGAUCUCUAGGCUCUC
rnacentral:misc_RNA from 1 species